CUUUCUGUUGUCGCCUCAGGCACUGGAGGGUCCGGUGCAGACUUGAGGAGAUCUGAUGACGUAGCUCGGAGCUCUGCAGCCUCCCAGGAAGAGACAGCCCUUGUCUAGAGCUGGUGUUCCACCUGCGUUAUUAUGAGAGACCAUAUAGAUUGAGCUUCUAUUGCCCAGGCCCUAGGAGACCUGGUGGGCCAGUGCAAAGUGCAAGGUCUGAACUCUACCCUGUCCUGAGCCACGAUUUACAGUCCAGACCAGAGUGCUCAGGAUGUUCUCAUCACAGCUGCUCCAUUAUCCACGUUUCAGUUUUUCCUCCACUACCUGUUGUCCCUAACAACUUUACCUAAUAGAGAAUAUUAUUGUUAGAAACUCGUCCUUUUUCAUUUUAAUUUUCACUAUUUUAUUGAGAUUUAAUAUAAUCUACUAGCUUAGAAGAUAUGACCCAAUACUUUUUGUUACAUUUGUAAUUGUACAAAUAUUACCACAGUCAAUUCUGAAACAUUCUAUCACACAUAUACUCAUAGCACCAGAAAAAGAAAUUGUAUGCCUUUUAGGACUCACUCCCCAUUAUCAUCUGGAUAUACAGUAUUCCUCAUAGGCUCAUAGACUGAGGACUAGGUACCCAGCUCCCCAGCUGGCAACCUCCUUUCGGGAGGUUCUGGAAUAUUUAGGGGAAGGAACCCAGCCAGAAGAGGUAGAAGAGGUGGGAGGUCCUUGAGGGUGCCCUACCCUCUACCCCCCUUCAUGUCUUUCUCUGAUUUGUGCCCACACUGAGGAUGAAGCUGCUCCACAUGUUCCCACCACCAUGUCAUUUGGUUCCAGUUCACAGGAACUGGACUCUUUGAAACUAUGAGUCAAAUUAAAGUCUUUGUUCUUGAGCGCUUUAUGUCAUGUAUUUUGGCCAUAGCAAUGAACAGCAAUAUAAUCCUUCUUUCCAAAUAUUUCCCACACUCCAGCCUUACUCAACUACUAACCUACUUUCUGUCCUCACACGUUUGCUUUUCUGGGUAUUUCAGAAACAAAGACGCGUAACAUGAUAUGUGGCUGCUUUCACUCAGGAUGGUGUUUGCAAGGUCCAUUCAUGCUUUGCAUAAGUGCUGAAUGUCCUUUUUAAUGCUGAGCAAUAUCUCAUUGUAUUGAUGUGCCACGCUUUAUUUACCCACUAGUCAGCAUACAUUUGAGUUGCUUCUUUCCAUUUGGAAUCAAAAUAAAUAGUGCCACUUCGAGUAUUUCUAUUUAAGUUUUACUGGGAUCAUUUAUGCACUUCUCUCUCCCCAUGAGACAGUAGCCCUGGGUAUCCCUGGCUGUCCUGAAACUUGCUCUGUAAAACCAGCUUCCCCUCAAACUCAAAGAUCCACCUGCCUCCAGACUGUUGGGAUUAAAAGUGUAUGCCUCCAACUGCCUGACUAUGCCUUUCUCUUGAGUGUAGGAGUCAAAAUCAUGGGUCAUAUGCUAAGAUUUUUUCUUUUUAUUAAAGCUAGAUUUUCUUUCUCAAAUACGAUAUAAUAAGUACAGUUUCCCCUUCCUAGCUACUCCUACUUACUAACUCCCCUUGCAUCCAGAUCCAUCCCUAUCUGUAUCUCAUUAGAAAACAAACAGGCUUCUAAGGGGUAAUAAGAUAAAGUACUUAAUAAAAAGGUAAAUACUAACAAAUUGGAAUUGGACAAAACAAACAAACAGAAAGAAAAGAGCCCGCGUAAAGGCACAAGAAUCAGAGACCCACUCAUUGGCACACUCUGAGGGAAUCCCAUAAGCACAGUAAACUGGAAGCCCAUAUGUAUAUAUGCAGUGCUGACCUAUGCAGGGGCUGAGAAUGCUGCUCAGUGAGCUCAAAGGGGCUUAGUGCUGAUUUAGAGGACCUUGUUUUCUUGGUAUUCUCCAUCCCUGCUGGCUCUUAGAGUCUUUCUCCCUCCUCUUCCACACAGAUCCCUGAGCUCUGAAGGGAGGGAUUUGGAGAGACAUUGGCAUCCCAUGUUGACUGAGUAUUUCAAGUUCUUUCAUUCCCUACACAAUGUCUGUAUUUGUCCGCAGGAGGAAACUUCUCUGAGCAAGGCAUUGAUCUGUGGAUAUAACAGAAUGUCAUUAGGAGUUAUUUUAUUGUUACUUUUUUCUGUCUUUUGUUUAUUUGUUUGAAUGGCAGUAUUUGUUUUUUCUAGGUCUGUGGACUAGGUCUAGGCACAAGUCCAUAGUCAUAUAAGCAGUGUCCGUUAUGGAUUCUAUCUUGUGGAGUGGGACUUUAGACAAAUAAAGUAUUGGUUAGUUAUUGUAGUGGUUUGAAUAAAAGUGGCCCCCCAUAGACUUAUAUUUGAGUGCUUGGUCACCUGGGAGUGGCACUGUUAGAAGGUGUGGCCUUGUUGGAGAAAGUAUAUCAUUCAUUGUAGGGUGGGCUUUGGGGUUUCAAAUGCUCAAGCCAAGCCUAGUUUCUCUUUCUUUUCCUGAUGACUGCCAAUCCAGAUGUAGAACUCUCAGCUCUUACUCUAGCUUGCACCAUGUCUGCUUGUUUGCCACCUUGCUUCCUCCCAUGAUGGUAAUGGACUAAAGCUCUGAACCUGUUAGCCAGCCUCAAUUAAAUAUUUUCUUUUAUAAGAACUGUCACCAUGGUCUUGAUGUUUUGCAUAGCAAUAGUGUGUGUGUGUGUGUGUGUGUGUGUGUGUGUGUGUGUGGUGUAUAUAUGUAUAUAUAUGUGUGUGUAUAUGUAUAUAUGUAUAUGAGACUUGUACUGUUCUAGGUUUCCAUAUAUCCCUCAAUGUUACUUAAUUUUACUUUCCUGUAUUCCUCCCUUGUCCCACUUCUCCCUCCCCUCUUGAUCCUUACAUUCCAGCCCCCCUUUCCAUACCUAGUCCAUCUUCCUUUGUUCAUGAGAUCCAUUUCCCCUACCUAACUUCUUUGGUUCAAUGCAUUGUGGCUUGAUUAUCUUUAACUUAACAGCUAAUAUCUACAUAUAAGUGAAUAAAUGUCAUUAUUUGCUCACUUGGGAUGAUUUUUUUCUGCUUUCAUCCAUUUACAUGCAGAUUUUAUGUUGUCUUUUUUUUGUAAUAGCUGAGUAAUACUAAAUUGUGCGAAAGUACCACAUUUUCUUUAUCAUUCAUGUGUUGAGGGAUAUUGAGAUUGUUUCAAUUUUCUGGUUAAUAAGAAUAGAAAAGCAGUGAAUAUAGAUAAUAAAUUAUCUCUAUAGUGGGAUAUAGAGUCCCUUGGGUAUAUAUGUAAGAGUGGUAUCCUUGAAUCUUGAGGUAGAUUAUUUUCACUUCUUUUAGGAAAGUCCACAGGUUCCCAGCAGGUUCUUGCCAGCAUUAGCUGUCAUUUGUUUUAUUAAACUUUCCUAUUCUGGCAGGUGUCAUAUGGAAUCUCAAAGAAGUUUUGAUUUGUAUUUCCAUAAUGACUAAGGAAGUUGGACAUUUCUUUAAGUGUUUCUCAGCCAUUUGGGUUUCCUCUUUUGAGAAUUCUCUGUUAAGAUCUGUACUCCAGGAUUUAUUGAAUUAUUUUCUUGAUAUCUAGUUUCUUGAGUUGUUUAUACUUUUUGGAUAUUAACACUCCAUCAGAUGUGUAUUGAUAAAAAAAAAUCAUUCCCCAUUCUCAAGGGGACUGCCUUGUCUGAUUGAUGGUAUCCUUUGCCUUACAGAAGCUUCUCAGCCUCCUGAAGUCCCAUUCAUUAACUGUUGGUCUUAGUGCCUGUGCUAAUGGUUUUCUGUUCAGAAAGUCUUCUCCUGUGCCAGUGAGUUAAGGUUAUUCCCCACUUUCUCUUCUGUUAGGUUCAGGUUGGUUUAAUGUUGAGGUCUUUGAUCCCUUUGGAUUGAGUUUUGUUCAGGGUGGUAAGUAUGGAGCUCUUUGGAUUCUUCAACAUGUAGCCAUCCAGUUUGACCACCAAUGGUUGAAGCUGCUUUUUCCCCAUUGUCUAUUUCUGACUUCUUUAACAAAAAAACCGGGUGUUCAUAAGCAUAUGGAUUUAUGUCUGUGUCUUCAAUCUCAUUGUACUGAUCAAUGUUUCUGUUCUUGUGCUGAUACACUGCUGUUUUAUUACUAUUGAAAUCAGAGAUACUGUUGUCCUUACGUUUCUUAGUUGUUCAGGAUUGCUUUUACCUAUCCUGUGUUUCUUGUGUUUGAAGCUGAAAAUUGUCCUUUAAAGAUGUGCGAAGAAUUGCGCUGAAAUUUUGAUUGGGAUUACAUUGAAUCUGUAGAUUGCGUUUGGUAGGAUGUCUAUUUGCACUAUACAUACAUACAUACAUAUGUACAUACGUACAUACAUGCAUAAUUUGGUUUUUCAAGACAGUGUUUCUCUGUGUAGCCUUGAUUGUCCUGGAACUUGCUCUGUAGACUAGGACAUUUAACUAUAUUAAUACUCCUGAUCCAUGAACAUGAGAAAUCUUUCUGUCUUCUGAAAUGUUCUUCAUCAUCUUAAAGUUUUCAUCAUACUUGAUUUUCAUUUCACUUGAUCAUUUUCACUUGAUUAGUUAGAGUUACCCCAACAUAUUUCAUAUUAUUUGAGUCUAUUGUGAAAGGUGUUGGUUCCCUGAUUUCUUUCUUAGUCUGUCAUUUGUUUAUAGGAAGACUACUGGUUCUUUGAGGUAAUUUUCUGUGCUGCCACUUUGCUUACAGUAUUUCUUUGCUGUAGGAGUUCUUUAAUGGAAUUUUUAGGCUCACUUAGGUAUAUACAUCAUGGCACCUGCAAGUAAAGAUGGUUAAUUUCUUUCUUUCUAAUUUAUAUCCCUUUGAUCCCCCUCAGUCAUCUUAUUGCUAUAGCUAAGACUUCAGGUGCUAUAUUAGACAGGUGUGGAGUGGACAGACUUGUCUUAUUCCUGAUAUAAGUGGAAUUGUUUUGAGUUUCUUUCCAUUUAAGUUGAUGGUGGCUAUGGUUGUGCUGUAAUUUAUGCCUUUAGUAUUUGAGGGAUGUCCCUCAUAUCCCUAAUCUCUCCAGGACUUUUAUCAUGAAGCUGUGUUGGAUUUUGUCAAAGACCUUUUCUGCAUAUAAUGAAAUGCUCCUGUGAUUUUUGUCUGUCAGUUUGUUUAUAGGGUAGAUUACAUUUAUCAACUUGCAUAUCUUCAACCAUCCCAGCAUCUCUAGGAUGACGCUUACUUCACCAUGGGAUGAUCUUUUUGAUGUGUUCUUGGGUUCAGUUUGCAAUAUUUUAUUGAGAAUUUUUUAUCUAUAUUCAUAAGGGAAAUUGGUCUGUAAUUCUCUUUCUUUUUUGAUCUAUUUUAAGUUUCAUUCAUAAAAUGAAUUUGGUAAUAAUGUUCCUCCUCUUUCCAUUUUGCAGUAUAAUUUGAGAAGUAUUGCUGUUAACUCUUCUUUGAAAGUCUAAUAGAAUUCUGGACAAAAAUCACCUGGCCUAGGAAUUUCCUUUGCUUGGGAGGCUUUCCGUUAUUACUGCAUUUUCACCAGGGGUUAUGGAUUUGUUUUACCUGAUAUAUUUAUAGAUUUCCUUACCUGAUCUUGAUUUAACUUCAGUUAGUGGAAUAUAUCUAGAAAUUUAUCUAUUUCUUUUAGAUUUCUCAAUUGGGUGGAGUGCAGGUUUUCAACGUAUGUCAUAUGAUUCUCUGGAUUUCCUCCGUGUAUUGUCAUGUACCACUUUUCAUUUCUGGUUUUGUUAAUUUGGAUAUUCUCUCUCUGCCUUGUAGUUAAUUUAGAUAAGGGUUUGUCAAUCUUGCUGAAUUUCUUAAACAACCAACUCUUCAUUUCCUUGAUUUUUUUGUGUUGUUUUGUUGUUUCUAUUUUAUUGAUUUCUGCCCCGAGUUUGAUUAUUUCUGGCCAUCUCCUUUUGAGUGUGAUUUUAUUUUUCUUUUUGUUCUAGAGAUUUCAGGUGUGCUGUUAAAUUACUAGUAUGAGCUCUCUCCAGGGUUUUGGUUUGUCUGUUUGUUUUUAUGUAGGCACUUAGUGCUAUGGGAUUGCUUUAUUUGUUUAUUUAUUUAUUUAUUUAUUUAUUUACAUCCCAAAUGCUGCCCUCUCCUGAUCCCCCCCCACACACACAAGAACUUGAUCUUUAUAGUGUCCCAUUAGUUUGGGUGUGCUGUGUAGUUAACUAUCUGUUUUUCUGGCCAGAAUUGCCUGAAGUUUCCCAGGGAAUGCCCACUGGAGUUGGGGGCUUGGAUAAAGCAAUGAAUCAAGGAAAGAAUGUUUGGAGGGAAAGAGCCACUGGACAUGGGGGCUGGUGGUACAGCAAGGAUUCUGCUGCAGCAGUGGGGAUGAGACUGGGGGAUUAGAUUAAGAGACACUGAGGGAGAGGUAAAGAUCUGCAUUUAGCCUACCUGCUUUUGUUUUUUAAUAAGUUUGUUUUUAAUCAUUUAAGAACUACCAGGAUGAUUUCCAUAAGGACCAAACUGUUGUAAAUCGGGCACAUUCUGCCAGCCUGCCUUUCAGUAACUCAUUGGACUUAUGUCAUUACCCACCACCACCAGAUGUGGCCCAUUGCCACUGUCUCUAGGAGUUGUGAAGCAACAUGUGUGCUCAGUAAGAGGUCCUUACCACCCCAGAUCACUCUCUGUUUUGCUCAUUCUCUCACUCUUCCUGUCUCCCUGUCUGUCUCUCUGUCUCUCAGGUCCCCAUCUGAGAUGAUCUUUUGAACUCCCCCCCCCCCCAACAAACUUGGUCUCUUAGCAGCACACUCUGGCCUCCAUCCACCAAGGACACUGACUUAGUUUGGGUUUUACUGCUGUAAACAGACACAUGACCAAGGGAACUCUUAUAGAGGACAACAUUUAAUUGGGGAUGACUUAAAGGUUUGGAGUUUCAGUCCAUUGUCAUCAUAGCAGGAAGCACUGCAGCAUCCAGGCAGGCAUGGUGCUGGAGGAGCUGAGAGUUCUACAUCUUCAUCCAAAGGAAGCCAGGAACAGACUGUCCUUAGGCGGGUAAGAGAAGGGUCUCAAAGCCCAUCCCCACAGUGACUCACUUCCUCCAGCAAGGCCAUACCUCUUAAUAGUGCCACUCCCUGGGCCAAGCAUAUUCCAGCCACUAUUCUGGUUGCCAUGAAGUGAUAUCAUAUUAUUGUAGCUUUGCUUAGCCUUUCUCUAGUGAGUAAUGAUGCUCAGUAUCUUUUCACAUCUUUAUGGAUUAUUGUUAACCCCUUCAGAGAAAUGUCUUUUCAGAUUGUGCUCCUUUUUAAGUUAGAUCGUGUCAGGCUGUUUUGUUUUGAGACAAGGCAUCUUGUAUCCCUAGCUGUCCUUGUAGCCAGGGAUGAUCUUGUACUUCUGAUCCUGAUACUGGGAUCAUAAGGCUGGCUAUUAAUACCCAAUGUAUAUGAUGCUGGUGGUCAAACCUAGGGUUCUGUACAUGCUAGUUAAGCACUUUACCAGUUGGAGUUAUAUCCCUAGGUCUUCAAGGUUAUGGUUAUCAUUGUGUAAGGGUCCAAGAGUCACUAAAAGAAGAACCCAGACUCAGUAUCAAAGACAAAGUGUUUAUUCUGCAGAAGCAGCCAGCAUGUGGGGUGUCAACCAUCCAAGCAAGAUGGCAACUGUGAGGGAAGCUCACAGGCCCCUUUUAAAGCCAGUUAGGGGCUUUCCAGUUGUUGUGGGUCACCUUCAUCAGGAUAGGUUGAGCUUAUGGUAUGAGAUAAUUAUGUAUUCUUGAUUGGCUCAAACCUCAAGGAAGAGAGGAUUACCUUAUAGGGACUCUUUUUUUUUUUUUAUCUGUUUUAAUCCCCUGGCCAAAUGUUGAGCAGUUGCUGAUUGGCUAUGGUUUUUCUGAGAAGUCUAGGCUGUUCUUCUGAGAAAUUUUCCUUUCUAGAAAAAAAAAAAAAAACCUAACAUGGCUGCCUGUUCUAAAAUGGAGCAAGUUAGGUCCUUUCGUUCCCCACUUGAGUAAGGGUCCAUCUCAAAUCUUUGAGUGGAGUGUAUGGGCUAGUAUUGGGACCUUAGGAUCAUGAAUUGAACAAUGGGAACUUGUUUCAUAACAAAUCUUAUUAGGGCAUUAAUAAUGCAGGACCCAUAUGUCAGAGUAAGUAUGCAUAGGACCAGGGGUCUGACUAAAGUGGAAACAAGCGUCAUGAGCCAUGGAGACCAGUUGAAGAAGGACUUACACCAGUUCUAGGCCUGUUGUCUGUUGUCUUUCUUUCUAUCUUGUAGCCUUUUACCAACCAAAGGUAUUGAUUCUCUUAUGAGCCCUGAGUGAUUGGUGUAGAAGCAGUGUCAGACAUAACGCACUUUGCUCUAAGAAUAGGAGGUCCAGUCCUCCCUGAUUUUGUGGGACCACCUCAGCUAAGGAAAUUAAAGAGCUUCUGGGUGGGAUAUAAAGUUUUCCAAUUCAGACAAGUCAGCAUCUAUGGCAGAAGCACAAGACAGACGCAGAUUCAAGAGGCAGGGAGAUGAACCCCUCUUUUGGAAACCAGGAGUUCAGUCAUGUUCAAGGGCACUUCUUGUGUAAAUGGGGCUGGACAGGGAGGAGUGUGCCCCGAGCGUAGUUUCAGCCUGUGCUGUCCUUUAGAAAAGCUUUUUCCUGGCC